UUUAUUAAAAUUGAUUUAAAUUUUUUUUUCAUUAAAUUGUAUUGUGAAGUACAUUUUCUAAAUACUGGAUAGAUAUAAUUAUAAAAACUACGUGAAAUGAACAAUUUAUAUUUAUACAUAGUCUUUAAAUGGUUCGGGACAUUUCCUAUUAUUUAUAAUCAAGAAAAAUGUCUUUUUCAAGUUUCUAAGAAUGGAAUAUUGUUGUGCUUUUUAUACUCAAUUAUCAUAUUAAGGACAAUUUACGAACUUAUGCGUGAAGUAAUCUCCGGUAAUUUAAAAAAAUCUGCAGCUGUAAGUUUAAUGAUAUUUUCUUGUCACUUUACUGGUUUAUUGAUUAUGAUUACGAAGAAAAUAGUUUGCAUAGAAGGCAUGAUUAAAAGUUAUAACAAUUUAGCUAAACUUCGAAUAAAUGAUAUUAUUCUUCCAAAAGGAUUUCAUGUUACAUUUUACAUUAAUGUUCUGGGGAUAAUAUUGGAAUUAAUUGGAGAUAGUAUUUCGAGCAUUAAAAAUGGAACUUAUGGAGCUAUGAUGGCUUAUAUACCAAUAUUGAAAUUCUGUAUAAUAGGUAUUGAAGUACAGAUAGUCAUUUUAUUUUUAAUCCUAAGUGAAUUAUAUAGUCGGCUUAAUAAAGAAGUGCAAUUUACAUUGGUCAAUGAUUUGAAACAAAUUCAAAAUAUGAGAAAUCGAAAUCUUGAAAUGUACAAAAUAUGUAAAAAAUUCAACUUGCAUUAUAAUGUUGAUAUUAUUAUUACUCUAUCAUCUUUCCAAAUAGUUUUACUUCACAUUAUCUAUGAAACUAUAAAAUCUAUAACUACGGAAGAUUUAUUUAUAUACUUUGAAGACAUUCAUAGUUUUAUAAAAUUUGUUUCGUCGAUGAGUCUUAUAGUAAGGCAUUCUUUUUUGACACUUUAUUUAGUCGAAUCAAGCACGAAUCUAUCAAAAAAGAGUACAAUGUCGUUUUACAACAUUUUGAAAAACAGAAACAUUCAUUUUUUUACUCAAGAAACUAAAGAACAGAUUUAUUUAUUUUUGAAAGAACUGCAUUCAACUGAAGUAAUUAUAUCUGCAAAUAACUGUUAUGAUAUUAAUAGAAAAUUUGUAUACACUAUAGCAGGUUCCAUCACAGCAUACCUUGUUUUAGUUUUGACAUUGAUAUUGGACCGAUACUAACAUUCAUUACUAAUUGUUAAUUUUGUUUUCAAAAAAUCUUUGAAGUCUACAUUAUUUUAAUACAUAUUAGUUAUGUAAUUUAAUUAUAAGAAUUUAAGAAAUAUCAUACAUGUGUAGUGAAGUUUUAUAUUUUAUUUAAUUACUCAUAAUUAUUUUAUUUAGUCCCUGUGGAUAGAGUAUAAGAAUACUUCUACGGCCCCUCUGCCAUCCAUAAGAGCCAAUUUAUGAGAUUGUGUCAGGUCAGGCAAAAUUUUGACAAAGAGUAUGAGAGGUCCUGAACAGAACUUAGGCGGAUUGUCCCAUCUUGGAUGUAUAUGGACACAACAGGUGAGAGGCAAUAACGGUAAAGAUGAUGAACGUCUAAAGAAUAAAAUGUUUGAUACCAGCCGGAAAACUUGUAACUUUUUCACCAGUCAUGAGUACAACGCUAAUAGUAUCAACAAUGUAAGGACAUCAUCACUCAACUUUAGGCUGGAAUAAUGUAUAAAGAAGAAUGAUAGAUACAGAGUAAGAAUAGGUACGCAGAAUGUUGGAUCAUUAACUUGUAGAAGUAUUGAAAUAGAGAAAAGUUAACAUUUGUUGUGUGCAGGAAACUAAGUGAAAGAGAGAUCACAGAUUGAUUAUAUAAUGUGGAAAAGAGAGAGCGUAAAGGAGUAAAAGAUAUUAAAGUUAUCUCUGGCAAGAAUGUAACUUCACAAAAUAGAAUGAUAGUAAUGGUGUUGUUGUGUAGUGGGAAGAGAGUAUACAAAAACAGAAAGAAUACAGGAGAACAAUUGAGGGUCCGGUGGUGGAAAUUGAAAGGGGAUAAAGAAAUACAGUUUUUAAAGAUGGUAAAAGAUAGGACGAUGUGGAAUGUUGAGAGAGUCAUACAUGAAGUGUGGAAUACAUUUGAUAGUUAUGUGAAGAAUACUGCAAAGGAGAUUGAUAGCAAUUGUAGGAAAAGAAUGCCAGGAAAAAAGGGAAUCUGAUAAUGAGAUGAGGACGUUCAAAAAAUCAUAGAGAGUAAGAAAAAGCAGUUCAAAAUAUGACAGAAGAGUAAGAGGAGAGAAGAUUGGAUGGAAUAAAACACUUGUGCAAAGAAGCCAAUUAUGCCGUAAGUAAGAUGAAGUUUAAGAAGUAAUCUUGAAAAAUUACUGAAUGAGGAGUAUCCAAAAGAGACAUUAGAGGAUAUCUCAUAGAAAGAGGGUCUGAAGAUUUAAUCGGUAAGAAAGAGAUAUGGGAAGCUCAGGCAUCAAUGAAAAAGAUCAAAAUAAAAGGACCUGAUGAAAUGCCAGUAGAAGUAUGGACAAUAUUAGGUGGUGUUGGCAUUUUGGUGGUUGAAAGAUCUUUUUAAUAAAAUCCUAUUAGAAUAAAAGAUGCCAAAAUAAUUGGAGGAAUAGUAUUGCAGUAUUAAUAUGUAAAGGUAAAGAAGAUAUUGUAAUAUACAUUUGGAUUAAUUGCAAUUUCCUGGUCUAUUGUAAUUGGACCAGAAAGUAAAUAUUUAUAAACAUUUUUGAUAAUGGUUGUGUUAUUAGAAUUUAAAAACAAAAUGUUUUAGUACAUAAGACAAAGUGGAAUGAAUUAUUGGGGAGCGUACUUCAGGAGCACCAUAGGUGCCUCUAAAACGACUAUUUACAUUAGCGCUCGAAAUGUACUACGUACCAAUUUGUCUAUUUAUUGUUAGCCUCUCUAAUUCAUUACUAGAUGUCACUAGGUACCUCUACUUACUGUUUUCAGCUACAGUUUGAAUUAUGAUUAUGAUAUUACGAUAUAUUAUAGUUUUGAAAUACGUUAUAAUUGAAACUCCAUUGAAGAUAUGAAAAAUGAGAUAUGGGCCACAUUAUUUCACAAAAUUUCGACCGAUCCGAAUCCGCAGUAUGACAAAUGUUCGGAGUCAAUGUAAACGGAAGAAGGCGAGAGCAGCGGGUGCCCUGCAUUCUUUUUCUUAUAAACUGCCUCUUCCUCAAGAAGUAUUUGAUGCUGUGAGGCCUGUCUAUGAGGAAUUAAAUCGAGUCAAGUUAUUGAGUCGUUGUUUAAGAGGCUAUACCAGAUUAGAAACGAAAAUUUUAACGCCACCGUAUAGAAGUUAGCUCCCAAGAAUUCUUCGAGUGGUAAAAACGAAUUCGAUAUUGCAGUAAAAUCUUACUGUAACUUCAACGACGGCAUGUCUAGCAUAUUGGUGAUCAUGAUCACAUAGACGUGGAAAUUGGCGUUCAGGCUAAUAAUUUCUGCAUGGAAGCCGAUGCUUUGCUCGUUAAGCUAAGCGCUCGUUAAAAAAUGCAAUAAAAGAGGCACGCUCUUCGCUAAAAUCGUCGAGAAAACAAGAAAUUUUAACCAUGUAUGAAAAACAACAUUCUUAAGAGAAACACGUAGCGGUUUUUAGAUAAGUUAAUUUAAAUAGUUUUUAUAAAC